AUGAGAAUGGCUCGGAAAAGCAAAAGGACCACGGGAAGAACUUAUGGUGAAAAUGAGGGAGAAGAGGUGGUGGCUCAAACAGCAAGGAGUAAUGUUGGACGCAAACGUGGGCAGAUGAAUGAGGAUCCUGUCCGGGGUGGUCGGGCGGGGAAACGGGCCACCGAUUCCGCCCGUCGUGAUGAAGGAGGGAGGCAUCCGAAACGUGCGAAGAAAGUCAGGCACGAGAUUGGUAGCAGUGGGCCACUACCGAGGAACAGGGCAUCACCUUCAAGACUAUUUGUCCAAAACAAUGGCCUUGAGGAUAUACAAAAGGAUGCCAUCAGUGAUAUAAGCUUUGGCGACGUGCUUGAUAUCGGCCCAAGAACAAUGAAAGGAGAUCUUGUCAAGUUUGUCAUGAAGUGUUAUGACCCAGAGUUGUUGCAGCUUGUUAUCCCAGAUAGGGGUAAGAUCCCAAUUGAUGCAACAAGUGUAGAAAGAAUUUGGGGCUUGCCAAGGGGGCAGAAGAAGGUUGCAUAUGAAGUGGAGCCAGACAUAGUUAGGUUGUUCAAUGAGAUGUACAACAUCCCCACAAGGCCCGCGCCAACAGUUACCAAGUGGUGCAAAAUGAUAAAGGAGCUGGGAGUUGUUGUUGAUGACAAGUUCUUAAGUGCAUGGCUUGUCAUUGUUUUUAGUUGUUCUCUUGCACCGACCACCAGCUUGAAGGUGUCCCCGCGCGCAUACCCAGCUUCGCUGAAUCCACGUGAGAUUGUGAAUUCAAAUGUUUGCCAGUUUGUCGUCGACCAACUCAGCCUUGCUUUCAUGGGUUUUGGAGACAAGAAGAACAUGAUAUGCUGUUGCCUUUUUCACCUAGUGGUAAAAUGA
rnacentral:rRNA from 1 species